rnacentral:lncRNA from 1 species
GACUAUCCAGCUACCUCCACACUACUAGUCCGUGAAGAGCAAGUCCAACCGGCAUGAGCGACACCAACGCGAAAGCACAGCGCCCGUCUCCAGAGUGGCACUCGUGGGAGCUACCCAACCGAGUAUGCAGCGUAUCUCCGUCGAGCUCAAUCAGGCUCUCAAAAGCCAAAGUCCAGUAACCGACUCAAACUGAUCUAACAACCAACAGGUAACGUGCUCUCGACACAAUCCGACGCCAAAAAGGCGAUACGGGUCCACCGUCAACCCCGACGGCACCCAACAGUCCGGAACAGCCUGAACGCUACUGUAAAAAUAUACUCGGCAUCCCGGCACGAGCGUAACUGAAAACUAAACUAUCUGGAAUACUCACUAUAAGGAUACUGCUACAGUAUGAAAUAAUACAACGGCCCCUAGGGCUAAAUCAGGUAGUUUAAAUAUAUGACGAUCAUAAUCGCGAGUUUUCUCUUAAGUCUUAUCCAAGUCCAACAUGUAUAUAUAUAUCCAAAGAUAAUAA